rnacentral:rRNA from 1 species
GUGUGGUUUAUGACUGGGGUGAAGUCGUAACAAGGUAACCAUAGGGGAACCUGUGGUUGGAUCACCUCCUUU